rnacentral:misc_RNA from 1 species
GUAGGUGAACCUGCGGAAGGAUCAUUAACAUAAUCCGCGUCUGCUCGCAAGAGCGACGCAUUAACCUUUGUGAAGAGGGUUGACUGUGGUCAACUUACUUUUGCACUUUGCAAAAGGACAUUAACAUUUAAAAAGAGACUGAAUUCAAAAAAGUAUAAAUGAAAACAACUUUUAACAAUGGAUCUCUAGGCUCUU